UAUAAUUAGACAAACCUAAGUUUUGCUUUCUCCUCUUCAUUUCCCCCAACCCUCCUUUGCUCGAUCCCGAUCCGCCGCCGCCGCCCCUCUCUGUCGUCUCCGUCUCCGCCGCUGCCCCUCUCCCUCUGUCGUCUCCGUCUUCGCCACCGCCAACCCCGCCUGGUGUCGCCGUCGCCGAAAGGAAGGGUCGACGCCACCCCCUUGCGCGUUCUGCCCUAGACCUUCACUGCCGCCCGACGCCAUCGCGUGGUCGCCGCCGCUGUGUCGUCGCAUCCAACCACAGCGCCUCCAAUGUGAGUUGCUAACGUCGCGUCCACUUCCUUUCCGAGGGUGCAAUGCCCGUGUGCCUUCAUCGGUGCUGCCCCACCUUGAGGAGCUCGCCAACGCCACUGACCGAAGCCUUCCCCAUCUGCCGCCGCCCCCUUUGUCGUGGCCGCGCCCAUUCCAGAGGCUGUCUCGGCAGCCACCGUGGUUGCUCCCUUCAGCCACUGUCCCGGCCACCCCAGCCACCUGCAGCUAGCCUUGGCAGCAGCUAGCUCGAUGGCACUAUCGCCGGACAUUUGCUCCGUUGCUCACGCAAAGGGUUCCUACAGUAGCUUCCCUACUGUCUCGGCCGUCUCUCCCACUGCUGGCUAAGAGCACUGUGCAAGCCAUCUCCCUGUCGGCUGCCGGAGAGAAAACAAUUGGGUACUUGGUGUUAGCACGGUGACACUUAGUGAGUGAGUCUUAUUCAUAGUUGCGGACGAUCAUGGACAUAAUAAGGUGACAUUUCAAGACCUGAGCCUCAUACAGAGAAUAUGGGUUCUUGUGACACCAACUGAUGCCAUUACAGUCUCAAGGAUUAAAGCUUCUGUCGGCGGCUGUUGCAGCGUGACUGUACCAUUACAAUCAUUUUAAGUACAAGAAAAAUAUGAUCGAACAUUCCGAGAAUCCUCGGAAUGUUAGUUCAUUCUACGAGAAUGAUAGUUCUGUGGGCACUGGGUUUACCUUUGCCAUACAUAAUAAUUGCACAGUCAAAUUUCAAGUCAAGGUGAUCCGCAAGAUUAUUUCUCAUGUGAGAUAUAAGGCUGUUGGUUGUGAGGUGGUCAUAGCUUCUUUCUCAGCCGGUAUAGCUUCCUUCUCUGCUGGUAUAGCUUCAUUUCCUUCGUAUUGUUAAAUUUCGGUUAGUUUCCUAUUAUUCAUUCCUUGUUAGAUUCUUUAACUAUUCAAUGGUCACUUUCUAUCGCCAAAUCCAAAUGGUCUCCUCAUUCAAUUCAAUGCACACCAAAUGGUCUCCUCAGUAAUUCCUAAUAUUUUAGUUAAAACUGCUAAAUAAAAUUAAAUUGGUGUGCAUUGAAUUGAGUUAGGAGACCAUUUGGAUUUAACUAUGGAAAGUGAUUGCCUAAUGGUUAGGGAAUCUAAUAGGGAAUGAAUAACAGGACAAUUAACUGGAAUCUAACAAUAUGAAGGAAAUGAAGCUAUACCGGCAGAGGAAGAAGCUAUACCUGCUGAGGAAGAAACUAUGACCAACAGUCUUGUAUUCCACAUCAGAAAUAAUCUUGUGGUCACUUUGACUUGAAAUUUGACUGUGCAAUUAUUAUGUAUGGCGAAGACAACCCCAGUGCCCACAGAAGUAUCAUUUUUGUGGAACGAACUAAUAUUCCGAGGAUUCUCGGAAUGUUCGAUCAUGUUUUUAUUGUACUUGAAAUAAUUGUAAUGGUAUAGUUGUACUGUCACAACCACCGACGGAAGCUGCCGUAUAUACCUCUGAUCUUUGGCCAUUCCUUUGACUCCAUUAUUGUUCGUAUCCUUUAGCUUCGGAAAAAAAAUAUGUGGAAAAAACCUAAACGAAGCUUUCACUUCCGCAAAUUGGGAGAUUAUAUUUACAACAGAGAUUAUAUGGUUUCACUGUGUACCUCCCAUACAGUACCAAUGUGGGCUGGCACCGAUUACUAUCCGAGCUACAGUCUUGGACUAUGUGUCCAAGAAGUAAUUAGGUCAGUGAGUCAAUCAUGGAGAACAAAUGAAACACCAAAAAGCAAAGGGAGGGAAAGUACUAGUCAGAGCACUAGAGACAAUUAAGAGGGGAGGAAGAAAUUCACGAGGUACUUCCAGAGUACUGGCGACUGCAUUUUUUGGUUGGCCACAGUUGGUAUGAGCUAUUCCUCUGUUUUCUUCUCAAUUUUUCUUGGAAAAUAAGAGGUAUAUUACUGAGACUCUAACUCUGGAUCUUCGAUGCUUGAUCCCUGGAAUUUCUUGUCAUGAAAUUCGCGACUUAUACUGAACUAUGCUUUGUUUGGAACUUAGUGGGGAUGCAUGCAGUUUUCUA